rnacentral:rRNA from 1 species
CCUACGGGUGGCUGCAGUGGGGAAUAUUGCACAAUGGGCGCAAGCCUGAUGCAGCCAUGCCGCGUGUGUGAAGAAGGCCUUCGGGUUGUAAAGCACUUUCAGCGGGGAGGAAGGCGGUGAGGUUAAUAACCUCAUCGAUUGACGUUACCCGCAGAAGAAGCACCGGCUAACUCCGUGCCAGCAGCCGCGGUAAUACGGAGGGUGCAAGCGUUAAUCGGAAUUACUGGGCGUAAAGCGCACGCAGGCGGUCUGUCAAGUCGGAUGUGAAAUCCCCGGGCUCAACCUGGGAACUGCAUUCGAAACUGGCAGGCUAGAGUCUUGUAGAGGGGGGUAGAAUUCCAGAUGUAGCGGUGAAAUGCGUGGAGAUCUGGAGGAAUACCGGUGGCGAAGGCGGCCCCCUGGACAAAGACUGACGCUCAGGUGCGAAAGCGUGGGGAGCAAACAGGAUAGAUCCCAGUAGUC